rnacentral:rRNA from 1 species
CCUACGGGAGGCAGCAGUGGGGGAUAUUGCACAAUGGGCGAAACCCUGAUGCAGCGACGCCGCGUGGGUGAAGAAGUACUUCGGUAUGUAAAGCCCUAUUAGUAGGGAAGAAGAAGUGACGGUACCACAGUAAGAAGCACCGCCUAAAUAAGUGACAGCAGCCGCGGUAAUACGUAGGCUGCAAGCGUUAUCCGGCGUUACUGGGGGUAAGGGUAGCGCAGGCUGGACGGGAAGCCUGAUGGGAACGCCCGCGGCUCAACCGGGGGAGUGCAGUGGGAAUUACCGGGCUGGAGUGCCGGAGAGGAAGGGGGAAUUCCAGGUGUAGCGGUGAAAUGCGUAGAUAUAAGGAAGAACACCAGUGGCGAAGGCGGCCUUCUGGACGGUGACUGACGCUGAGGCUCGAAAGCGUGGGGAGCAAACAGGAUUAGAUACCCCAGUAGUC